rnacentral:piRNA from 1 species
UGGGAUUAAAGGUGUGUAUC